rnacentral:rRNA from 1 species
GUGCAGCAGGCGAGAAUACUUCACAACGUGCGAAAGCACGAUGAGGGAAUCCCAAGUGCUUGCUCGUAAGAGUAGCUGUUUCUCUGUCUAAAACGCAGAGAGAGUAAGGGCUGGGUAAGACGGGUGCCAGCCGCCGCGGUAAAUACCUGCAGCUCGAGUGGUGGCCGCUAUUAUUGGGCCUAAAACGUCCGUAGCCGGUUUAUUAAAUGCCUGGGGUAAAUCGGACCGCUUAACGGUUCGAAUUCCGGGUA